CAAAUGUCUCGGGAGUGUCCCAUGGUACGGGGGAAUGUCACAGUCGGGGUUAGUCUUACCUGAGUCUCCCGCACUGGUGAAGGGGCUCGCUCUGUCCUGGCUUGAGCUCGGGUGGUCAUGGGAUGUGCCCCUUCAUAUAAGAUGGGGAGUAGGUGGAUCCCACUUCAGCUGGCAGGUUGUCCAUAAUCCCCACGUUUACAUGACCCUCUCCCGCUGCCCAGUUC